rnacentral:rRNA from 1 species
AGAGUUUGAUCCUGGCUCAGAACGAACGCUGGCGGCAGGCUUAACACAUGCAAGUCGAGCGCCCCGCAAGGGGAGCGGCAGACGGGUGAGUAACGCGUGGGAAUCUACCUUUUGCUACGGAAUAACUCAGGGAAACUUGUGCUAAUACCGUAUGUGCCCUUCGGGGGAAAGAUUUAUCGGCAAAGGAUGAGCCCGCGUUGGAUUAGCUAGUUGGUGAGGUAAAGGCUCACCAAGGCGACGAUCCAUAGCUGGUCUGAGAGGAUGAUCAGCCACACUGGGACUGAGACACGGCCCAGACUCCUACGGGAGGCAGCAGUCGGGAAUCUUGCGCAAUGGGCGAAAGCCUGACGCAGCAACACCGUGUGUGUGAGGAAGGCCUUCGGGUCGUAAAGCACUGUUGUUGGGGACGAAGGGCGAGAGGUUAAUAGCCUCGAGCUUGACGGUACCCUUCGAGGAAGCCCCGGCUAACUACGUGCCAGCAGCCGCGGUAAUACGUAGGGGGCGAGCGUUGUUCGGAAUCACUGGGCGUAAAGGGCGCGUAGGCGGCCUGAUAAGUCGGGGGUGAAAGCCUGUGGCUCAACCACAGAAUUGCCUUCGAUACUGUCGGGCUUGAGACCGGAAGAGGUCAGUGGAACUGCGAGUGUAGAGGUGAAAUUCGUAGAUAUUCGCAAGAACACCAGUGGCGAAGGCGGCUGACUGGUCCGGUUCUGACGCUGAGGCGCGAAAGCGUGGGGAGCAAACAGGAUUAGAUACCCCGGUAGUCC